GACGAACGCUGGCGGCGUGCUUAACACAUGCAAGUCGAACGGAAAGGCCCUGCUUUUGUGGGGUGCUCGAGUGGCGAACGGGUGAGUAACACGUGAGUAACCUGCCCUUGACUUUGGGAUAACUUCAGGAAACUGGGGCUAAUACCGGAUAGGAGCUCCUGCUGCAUGGUGGGGGUUGGAAAGUUUCGGCGGUUGGGGAUGGACUCGCGGCUUAUCAGCUUGUUGGUGGGGUAGUGGCUUACCAAGGCUUUGACGGGUAGCCGGCCUGAGAGGGUGACAGGCCACAUUGGGACUGAGAUACGACCCAGACUCCUCCGGAAGGCAGCAGUGGAGAAUAUUGCACAAUGGGCGGAAGCCUGAUGCAGCAACGCCGCGUGCGGGAUGACGGCCUUCGGGUUGUAAACCGCUUUCGCCUGUGACGAAGCGUGAGUGACGGUAAUGGGUAAAGAAGCACCGGCUAACUACGUG
rnacentral:rRNA from 1 species